CAAUAGCGUAUAUUAAAGUUGUUGCGGUUAAAAGCUCGUAGUUGGAUUUCUGCUGAGGACGACCGGUCCGCCUCUGGGUGAGUAUCUGGUUCGGCCUGGGCAUCUUCUUGGAGAGCGUAGCUGCACUUGACUGUGUGGUGCGGUAUCCAGGACUUUUACUUUUGAGGAAAUUAGAGUGUUUCAAGCAGGCACACGCCUUGAAUACAUUAGCAUGGAAUAAUAAGAUAGGACCUCGGUUCUAUUUUGUUGGUUUCUAGAGCUGAGGUAAUGAUUAAUAGGGAUAGUUGGGGGUGCUAGUAUUGGCCGGCCAGAGGUGAAAUUCUUGGAUUCGG
rnacentral:rRNA from 1 species